rnacentral:rRNA from 1 species
AUUGAACGCUGGCGGCAGGCCUAACACAUGCAAGUCGAGCGAGCGGCGGACGGGUGAGUAAUGUAUGGGGACUGCCCGAUAGAGGGGGUUAACCACUGGAAACGGUGGCUAAUACCCCACACUGUCGGAUAACCCACAUGUGUUUAGCUAGUAGGUAAGGGAAUGGCUUACCUAGGCGACGAGCCCUAGCUGGUCUGAGAGGAUGAUCAGCAACAAUGGGACUGAGACACGGCCCAGAAUCCUACGGAGGCAGCAGUGGGGAAUAUUGCACAAUGGGCGCAAGCCUGAUGCAGCCAUGCCGCGUGUAUGAAGAAGGCCCUAGGGUUGUAAAGUACUUUCAGUCGGGAGGAGUUACCGACAGAAGAAGCACCGGCUAACUCCGUGCCAGCAGCCGCGGUAAUAC